rnacentral:lncRNA from 1 species
GGCUGCUAAAGUUGGUUAGUGACAUCUAGAUGUCUUGUGUUAGAAUAGAAGGGUUAAGUCUUGGUGUAGCUUCUGGUCGAUGGGGAGGUCCUUGACUUCCCUAAAGUAGCUGAUCUUCAGUCGCAGGUGAUCUUCAUCCUUGAGAGUGUUGAAUGGUGGCGUUGUAGGCUUCUCGUCGAGAUAUUCUGCUUAAGUAAGUUGCCC